rnacentral:rRNA from 1 species
AGCUUCUCACGAGGCGGACAUUUUGCGGCUUCAUUUUAAACAUUAGUUAAAGUAUGUAACGAAAUAUCGAAACAAAAAAAAACUUUCAACAACGGAUCUCUUGGCUCUCGCAUCGAUGAAGAACGCAGCGAAAUGUGAUAAGUAAUGUGAAUUGCAGAAUUCAGUGAAUCAUCGAAUCUUUGAACGCACCUUGCGCUCUCUGGUAUUCCGGAGAGCAUGUCUGUUUGAGUGUCAUGAACUCUUCAACCCACCAGUUUCUAGUAGACUGUUUGUGGUGUUUGGAUCUUGAGCGCUGCUAGUCUGACUAGCUCGUUCGUAAUACAUUAGCAUCUCUAAUUCGAAUUCGGAUUGACUCAGUGUAAUAGACUAUUCGCUGAGGACACUAUUAAUUUAGUGGCCGUACUAGAACCAGUAGAAGCUUCAAACUACUUUAGUCAACUUUGAUUUAGACCUCAGAUCAGGCAGGAUUACCCGCUGAACUUAAGCAUAUCA